rnacentral:rRNA from 1 species
CAGCCGCCGCGGUAAUACGUAGGUCCCGAGCGUUGUCCGGAUUUAUUGGGCGUAAAGGGAGCGCAGGCGGUUUAGUAAGUCUGAAGUUAAAGGCAUUGGCUCAACCAAUGUAUGCUUUGGAAACUGUUAGACUUGAGUGCAGAAGGGGAGAGUGGAAUUCCAUGUGUAGCGGUGAAAUGCGUAGAUAUUAGGAAGAACACCAGUGGCGAAGGCGACUUUCUGGACGAAAACUGACGCUGAGGCGCGAAAGCCAGGGGAGCGAACGGGAUUAGAUACCCCAGUAGUCCCUGUCUCUUAUACA